GUUUCACCAGGAGACUCUGAGGCUGGGCGAGGCUGCACACCUGUUGUUAAUUAAUCAAUCAUCCCCACACACUCUCAGGUGGGGAUCUCCUACAUGGUAGCAUGGAUCACCGUAUGUGUAUGUUUAAUGUCCUCAAACUUUGCAAUUAACCGGUUUCACCACUAUCAGCAUCAUCUUCAUAAGCAGCAACGAACAUUGCUAAACUCACGAACUUAGGAACUGAGGCACGCGGUAGUAUUUACUAUUUUGCACAUAGUAUUUGGAGUUUUUCACUUGUGGAGGAAUGGACUUCAACUUCAUGAUUUGUGUGGACAAGGUCAGCGCUGGAGGGUCCUGGGACCACACAGCAGCGCAGGGCUCAGACACAAACAGCAGAGGUCACCCUGAACCAUGGCGCUCUACUUCCCUGCUGUACAAGGAAGAGGAGACAUAUCAACAUACGAGUCAGGGGGGGGGGGGGGUUGAUGAUGACGCAGCCAGACGGAGAUGAUGAGUAGCAGUACAGCACGGAGAAGCAGAGUGUUUGGGUCUGAAAAGCCGAGGAAGAAGCAUUGAGGAGGACAGGCAUAGAGCGAGAAGGAAAUGCACUUAGUUGUCGGGUCCAUCAGAAGGACAUUACUCGCUUCCUCCUUUUUUUUUUUUUUUAUACCUUAAGUGUCUUUGGCAGGAAGGAAUCUGAAUGCAUUACCGUGGCAUGUGGACCUCGAUCAAUGAAUUCUAUAGGUGAAAUAUGAGGAAUCUGUUGCGCUGGUGAAAAAGAUGUUGUUAUAAAUCACUAUCCAAAACUGUGUGUGUGUGUGUGUGUGUAUAUUUAUACACACGGGGGCCUAAAUC
ensembl:lncRNA